GGGGUUGUAGCUCAGUUGGUAGAGCGCUUGAUUUGCAUUCAAGAGGCCUGGGGUUCAACUCCCCACAACUCCA